rnacentral:miRNA from 1 species
UCUCACAUCCCUUGCAUGGUGGAGGUUGAGCUCUCUGAAAACCCCUCCCACAUGCAGGGUUUGCAGGA